CUUUAACCCAGUGGGCCUUCAGCUUAUUUUCUUUUCUGAAAGAAAACCAAACCCAAUUCUUUGGGAAGCAGGGGAUACAGCUUUCCUUGUAAAUUUCUUUUCCGUCUGUCACCACUUAAUACUUUGCAUCCAAAGGCAGAGGCAAAUAAGAUGAAAAGCAACGACCGUGAAAGGACAUAACUUUCAUUGUUUUGAGAACAUACAUCUUCUAGUUAACAAAUACUUAACGAAACGUUUAACCAUCUCGCAAAAAAAAUCACUGCUCUUUCACACCCGAUUGAGGGAACUGGUCGAGAUCUCCUUUGGGAGAGGCAAAAACCUCAACAGAAACCGCACUGCAAGAACUACGAUCUGAUACAAGAAACGGUAACAAAACCAGAGGAGGGUUAAUAGGAUACAAAACCGCAGGCACGAACGGCUAGCUGGCUACUCGGCUCAUUGCCCACUCAUUUGGGCCAGUUCUGGAGGUGGCUUGACGAGUCCUGCCAAUCUGCACGCACCCAGGUCCAAUCUGCAGAUCCGAGGUCCAGAGGCCCACCAGUGGCGGCGAAGGGAGGGGGUGGCGCACGAUCAGAGUCCCCCUUCCAGGAGGAAGGCGGACCCGCGCCUCCGCAGCCCCCCAGCAGGCUGCACGUGUUUGAGCCGAGUCCCGGGUGCACGUCCCACAGCUCAGGGAAGCGCACCGCGCGCGGGGACCCGCUCCGUUCCUCUCCCUGCGGCCAGAGCCUCGUCCCUGGCCCCCGAGGCACCCGCGGCUGACAGAGCCCAACUCUUCGCGGCGGCAUUGGGCGCCUCCGGAGAAGCCCCGGGCCGACCGCGGCCUCCAGGCGGGGCGCGGGGGCUGGGCGGGCGAGCCGUCGCAGGGUCCCGGGAGGGGCGAGCGAGCCAGCGGCUGACAUUUUUUGUUUACUCCAGACUGGAUGAUCAGGCGCGGUGUACGCUACUGUAUUAAGAAAACGGAAUUCGUGGAAAAAUCUUAGGGCUGGGGAGACAAAAACAGUGAUUCUCAAUUCUGAUCAUCACGUUUGUUAGGGAGCUUUAGGAAUAUACGUACCUGAGCAGCACUGACUAAACCAGACUCUUGGGCUGCCUACGUGUUCCUGUCCUGCUCCCUUCUUCUUAGAAGGCCUUCUCUUCUUCAACUUUUUGAGCAGAGGAUGGGUUUUAUUAGGUGUAACUACUUCAUUCUUAAUCUUAACAUUAACCGCAUCUCCCUUUAAUAGGAAAUAAA
rnacentral:lncRNA from 1 species